UAGGGAAUAUUGCGCAAUGGAGGAAACUCUGACGCAGCGACGCCGCGUGGGUGAUGAAGGUCUUCGGAUCGUAAAGCCCUGUCGAAAGGGAAGAAAAACAUUAUGGCUAACAUCCAUAGUGCUUGACGGUACCUUUAGAGGAAGCACCGGCUAACUACGUGCCAGCAGCCGCGGUAAUACGUAGGGUGCUAGCGUUGUUCGGAAUCAUUGGGCGUAAAGCGCGUGUAGGUGGUUUAUUAAGUCGGUUGUGAAAUCCCUAGGCUCAACCAAGGAAGUGCAGCCGAAACUAAUAAGCUAGAAGAUGGUAGAGAAAGGUGGAAUUCCAAGUGUAGAGGUGAAAUUCGUAGAUAUUUGGAGGAAUACCUGUGGCGAAGGCGGCCUUUUGGGCCAUUCUUGACACUGAGACGCGAAAGCGUGGGUAGCAAACAGGAUUAGAUACCCCCGUAGUCC
rnacentral:rRNA from 1 species